UAAUGUAAUUACUAUAGAGUUAAUGCACUGGAUCUCAUUAGAACUCCAUAGUUAAGCAUGAUAGGGAUAGAUUAGUAUUGGGAUGGGUGACCUCCUAGGAAUUCCUAGUGUUUUACAUGCC
rfam:Picea glauca, whole genome shotgun sequence.